UGCAGGUAAAAAGGGAGUUAUAAGGCAGUUCAAAGAGUUUGUAAUCAAAAUCUGUGAGUGAUGUGAAGUAAUAAGCAAUCAAUUAACAAUUGGACGCUUUAGAAUAUUUGACCUGUUUUGGAUAAUACUUUGCUUGCUUUAAAUUAGAUUUACAUUAUAUGCAGACAGCUUUAAGCCAAAACGGAUACAAUGCUUCUACGUUGCUAUGUGCCAAUGGGCUUGUUAUUGAUUUUUGCUCAAACGGAAAGGACAAUCAUGUUAUCUAGUUUUAGCAGUGAUGGUAAUGAACAGAAAGUAAUUGUGGGAGCUUAAAUUAAAAUGCUGUAUCUUCAUAGGUAAUUGAGGCUAGAAUGUUAGAGUCCACAUAAGGUGUGCACAGUUAAUAUCAUAAUCACUUUCUAUACUUAAGUCAUUUGAGUCCUUGAUCAUGUUAUGUUUGAAAGUCGCGUCAAGGACAGUUCACAGAUGUCUUAGCAUCUUAUAAUGAACCAUGUUUACAUCUCUGUCACUGAUCUGGACUUUUCUGUCCACCCAUGCUCUUAUUACUGAAUGCCCCAAAUAAUGAUUGUCAGGUUUUUGUUUAACAAAUAUAAGAGCAGGGGCAAGACCAAUCUGUGGUUAUCUGAAAAUUUUCUCAUGUGCCUUAAAU